UUGAGAAACGAACGCAACUUGGAACGUUUCGCGCGGGUACGAAACGAAAUGCAUUUCCUAUCGAAUGGGUCGGAAAUUGUCGACAAAUAUCUAAAAGAUAGCCAAGAUGUAAGGCAGAGUCUCGGUGGACACUCCCUCUGUUCAUAAAAUCGUGUCGUAAAAGUCGAUAACGAUCGUUCUCAGCGACUUCACUGCAACCUGGCAUUGCAUGAUUAUAAAACUCGAUAAUUACGCUUUGUAAUUACUGUUACGAUCAUUCCGCGAGUUGCUUCGUUUCGAUGUCAGUUAAUUUUCAUUGAACAACGAAGAAUCCCGCCGUAUAUCUGUAUACAGAGUGUCCUGUUUUUACGCAUGAACGCGUACGGAUCGAAAGGGACACGGUGCUACAGAAACGAUGGUAAUACCGAGAUUCGAACUCCGGAGACAUUUGCGAAGCUUGUUCGCAAAAAGAACAGAUAGAGAAUCGUGUUUGAUUCUGAGAUCGUAGCCCGUAGAAUGGAAAUACCAAGUUCCAUUGAUCACUGAUAAGAAGUGUAAAUGAAAGAAAGAAAUCAGUGUUAUUUGAGUUGGGCGUUUGGCAUGAUAUAGGAAGGCGA
rnacentral:misc_RNA from 1 species